rnacentral:piRNA from 1 species
UAGGACAGGCUCCAAAGCUACAGAGAA